AGUGUUGGCUUGGCAGCACUGGAAACUCUCUUUAUCCACAGAACAGGUACAGUAUAGGUGGAGUCAGCACAAGCUUCCCCAUCGCUGUUUCACGUAUGCACUAUAUCCUGGAUGACUGAGUGGGUGGGCACCUGUAAGGGUGAGAGUGUAGUUCAGUUCCCAUGCCAAUUUCACCCUUAUUUUAA
rnacentral:sRNA from 1 species